CGAACGAGCAGGCGACGGGCGAGCAGCAAGCGGAGCAGCAGCCCGGGCGGCAGCAGCGUCGCGGCGGCGGCGGCAGCGGCCGCUCCGCGCCUCGCCUCACUGGCCUCGCCGGCCUCACCUCGCCGCUCCCAGACCCGCCACCCCCGCCUCCCCGCCCGACCUCCGCAGCCCCCCGUCUCGGCCGGCAGCGCCCACCGCCUGCCCGAAGCGAGGAGCGGAGUGCGGGGCGCAGAGGCACCGGAGCCAGUGCCCGCCGGCCCCGCAAAUCAAACCCAGCCAGGAGAACCCCCGCCUGGCCCCGCGCAGCUCCGCGACCGCCGGGAGCUGUCCCUUCAGCACCGCCGUGGGAGCCCGAGUCCGAGCGCAGCCCGGCGGAACCCCCAGCUCGAGCCCGGGCUCACGGAGAGCAGCGCUCGGCGUUAGCCGCACGAGCAACACCCCGGGUGCCCCUGCCCAGGGGGCCCGCCAUCUCCUCCAGGAGGCGGGGAGAAGGAACGAGGAGGGCGGGCGGGCAGGCGGGCCCGCCGCCGGGGGGAGCAGGCAGCCAAGCAAGGAGAGAGGGAGGGGGCAGGAGCCCGCCCUGCGUCCCGAGCUGCAGCCCGGCCACGCAGGGAGGAAGGCAGGCGGCAUCCAUCUCCCCAGCGCCGAGAGCGCGCCCCGGCGACCACCGCACAGAGGAGCGUGAAUUUCCCGGCCCCGUCUCCUCCCCUCCCCCUCUUGGGGGCUGGCCUGUAGUCCGGCCCGGGGAGCGGCUGACCUUUCCCCGAAAAGCUUUGUGCCGACUUCUCCAUUUUCCCGCGGAGAUGGGGACGGGAGCCCGGCCCCCCAACCCUCUUUCCCCACCUCCCAGGGCUCACCGCUGAGCCCGCCCCCCUCCCUAUUCCCCCCUCCAUCCCUCCCUUUCUCCCUCCCAUCUUUCCUCCUCUGCCUCCUCCGCUGCCGGACCAGCUCCCUCCCACAUCUGGCUCCUAGAGACCCCUGGGAUCCCGCGCACAUUCCCCUGGACCGGCACCCGACAGAAAGCGCCCGGAGAGGCUUGGCUCGCUCGUUGGGGUGGCCAGAGCCGCGGGCCUCUGUUCCCCCCGACGGCUGGGGGGAGGGGGGAAGAGGGCGCGCGCCCCCCUCCCCGGCGCCAACUCCCCCUGGCGGCCGCUCCCAUGGGUGUCGCUGGGCCGCGCCAUGCCUAAGGGGGCGCCGCGAUGGGCCAAGGGGACGAGAGCGAGCGCAUCGUGAUCAACGUGGGCGGCACGCGCCACCAGACGUACCGCUCGACCCUGCGCACGCUGCCCGGCACGCGGCUCGCCUGGCUGGCGGAGCCCGACGCCCACAGCCACUUCGACUAUGACCCGCGUGCCGACGAGUUCUUCUUCGACCGCCACCCCGGGGUCUUCGCGCACAUCCUGAACUACUACCGCACGGGCAAGCUGCACUGCCCGGCCGACGUGUGCGGGCCGCUCUACGAGGAGGAGCUGGCCUUCUGGGGCAUCGACGAGACCGACGUGGAGCCCUGCUGCUGGAUGACGUACCGCCAGCACCGCGACGCCGAGGAGGCGCUGGACAGCUUCGGCGGCGCUCCUCUGGACAACAGCGCCGACGACGCGGACGCCGACGGCCCCGGCGACUCGGGCGACGGCGAGGACGAGCUGGAGAUGACCAAGCGCCUGGCGCUCAGUGACUCCCCGGAUGGCCGGCCUGGCGGCUUUUGGCGCCGCUGGCAGCCGCGCAUCUGGGCGCUCUUCGAGGACCCGUACUCAUCCCGCUACGCGCGGUAUGUGGCCUUCGCUUCCCUCUUCUUCAUCCUGGUCUCCAUCACCACCUUCUGCCUGGAGACCCACGAGCGCUUCAACCCCAUCGUGAACAAGACGGAGAUUGAGAACGUUCGCAAUGGCACGCAGGUGCGCUACUACCGGGAGGCCGAGACGGAGGCCUUCCUUACUUACAUCGAGGGCGUCUGUGUGGUCUGGUUCACCUUCGAGUUCCUCAUGCGUGUCAUCUUCUGCCCCAACAAGGUAGAGUUCAUCAAGAACUCGCUCAACAUCAUUGACUUUGUGGCCAUCCUGCCCUUUUACCUGGAGGUGGGGCUGAGCGGCCUGUCCUCCAAGGCAGCCAAGGACGUGCUGGGCUUCCUGCGCGUCGUCCGCUUCGUGCGCAUCUUGCGCAUCUUUAAGUUGACCCGCCACUUUGUGGGCCUGCGGGUCCUGGGCCACACGCUCCGAGCCAGCACCAACGAGUUCCUGCUGCUCAUCAUCUUCCUGGCCUUGGGCGUGCUGAUCUUCGCCACCAUGAUCUACUACGCCGAGAGGAUAGGGGCACAGCCCAACGACCCCAGCGCCAGUGAGCACACGCACUUUAAGAACAUCCCCAUCGGCUUCUGGUGGGCCGUGGUCACCAUGACGACCCUGGGCUACGGAGACAUGUACCCGCAGACGUGGUCCGGCAUGCUGGUGGGGGCCCUGUGUGCGCUGGCAGGCGUGCUCACCAUCGCCAUGCCCGUGCCCGUCAUCGUGAACAAUUUCGGGAUGUAUUACUCCUUAGCCAUGGCUAAGCAGAAACUACCAAAGAAAAAAAAGAAGCAUAUUCCGCGGCCACCGCAGCUGGGAUCUCCCAAUUAUUGUAAAUCUGUCGUAAACUCUCCACACCACAGUACUCAGAGUGACACAUGUCCGCUGGCCCAGGAAGAAAUUUUAGAAAUUAACAGAGCAGGUAGGAAACCUCUUAGAGGCAUGUCGAUCUGACCUUUCACCUCCGCCCCCUGUAGCGAUGAUUCCAGAUCCAGUCAGACUGCUUCCUUAGUUCCGUGGGUGACCCCGGACCCCGCACUCAGUCUCGAGGUGUGGAGCCUGGGGGCCCAGGGAGAUGCUGGGCGGCCAAAUUCAGAAGGCGAGAGCCUGCUAGAGGAACCUCACUGGUGCCCCUGGGUAAGGAGGUUGACGUGGUUGGUCUCGUGAUGUUCUAAAGAGACAACGCGGCCCGCCAGGUUGCUGAGGACUAACUUAGCAGGAGCCGGGGGGCUCUGCUCGGCGGGGCAGGAGUCCGGUGUGAGUCUCUGACUCAGGCUACUGAGCCGGUGUUGGGACAGAGUGGGGGCGGGUGUGAUUUGGAAAUGCUAGACAGCCUUUGAUCUGGUCCUUACCACGGCUGCCUUCAGGCUGUGUAGAUGGCAGAGAUGGUGCAUGGGAUCUGGGCAGGAGGGUCCCUUGCAAAGGCAGGCGCAAGGGUUCUCACCCCCAGCAGAGCCUGUCUCCAUAGCUGAGUAGAAUUCCUGCCCUGAUUCGGGCUGCCCAGCUCGAGGUCCUUCCCAGGAGACGCCUGUAGCCCUCCGUGACAAGCUUACUUACCCCAUAGCAUGCCGAACCAACUCAUCUUCUACCACCACUCUAGAGUUUAGCCUUUAUCUUUAGGAACCUGUUGAAGUGACUCUAGCUUUCACGUUGUCUGUUUGGGUUGAUGGUCGAGUGGGAGUUUCCAGUGACCUGAUGGAAGCGGCUGCCGAGCAAAAGCCGAGAGGGGGCCGCCACCCUGGGCAGCUUAGAUGAAAGCGCUACAGACCAGCAACAGCCUCCCACCGAGGGUUCUCCCCGUUUCCAGCGGGAUUUCAAAGGAACAGAUGACCCAGAGAAGAAUGACAGCACUGAGUAAGAAGGAGUGCCAGGUGAGCGGGAGGUUGACGUGACAGUUAGGUGGCAUUUAGUCUAGGAAGGACCUCCCCAUGCCCAGGUCUGGCAGGAGGCUGCUGGCUAGCUCAGCCCCAGGUGGGGAAGUUUCCCCCUGGUUUGGGUGGCCUCCCCCAAUGGAUGAUUGAUUUUCUUCCCUGCUAUCGCGCUCUCUGAUCCACCACCCCAUCCCAAUCCUCUCCUGGCUUUACCCCACAGCUAUGCUGGCCCGAGCACUACCCUCAAGGCCCAUUUCUUUGCCCAUGGGGGCUUCCCAGCCCUUUCACCCUGCCGCAUACCCUCCCCUUCCUGGGAUUUCUGUAGGUGCCUGAGAGGAACAUGGCCAGGAGUGGGCAGGGGUCUCCGAGGCUGAAACAGCUCUGAGCUCUCUGCUUUGGAUUAGCUAGUUACUUGAUUUCAGGAGCUACCAACAGGGCUCUGGGCCUCUAGGGGGAAGGCGUGGGCUGGCCCAGGCCCCAGCUUCCAUGUGGGCCUGGCAAGAAGAGCUGAACCUGAGUGGCAUCACCGUGGCACUACCUGGCCCUUCCUUUGCAUCCUCCCCGACACUGGAUCUUUCAGGAUUGUUGCCCCAAGCGCAGGUGCCCUGGGCCAGCCAGUCAGGAAUCCCCAGUGCUCUCCAGGCAGGCCCAGAUUCCUCUGUACUCUUGGACGAUGACAGUAUUAUCCUGUGCGGAGUCCCCCUGCCCCCCAGGGAGUGCAGAUGUGUUUGUUCAGACGCGCACACCAGCUAAUCCCAGCACACAAAACCUGUAAAACCCAUGCACUCCUGUGGGAUUGCCCGUUGGCUCCACAGUCUCUCCCCAGCCCUGCUUUUGAGAGCCACUUUGCCCUGGUCCCAGGUUUCAGGGGCCCAGACAGUUCUGGCCUGGACAGUCUCUGUGGCUGAGGAAGUAUUUGGUGCCCUCCCAAGCUUGCCCUCUGGAGCUUGGAUGCCUGGAUCCCUCCUGCCUCCCCUGCUUCCCAGCUGUGCUCCCAAGCCCUUCCCAAGCACUCACUUCCCGGUGGUGUUGGUGCUGUCCUGAUAUCCUGACCCCCGAGGCUCCAGCCUCAUCCCUCACCAGAACACUUCUUCCUCCAAAAGCUGGCGUGUGAGACCCCGGCUAUCCACCACCAAGAGGAGCUGCGGUCUUUAGGGGCGUCGUCCCCACCUCUGCACCCCAGAGUUCUUCCCAUUCGCCCUUUUUCCUGCUUGCAGCCAUGCACCUAGAUGGGCAUAGGGUUGGGGUGAGUUUGUGGGAGAGUGAAGGGGAGGCCAGGGGCAAGGAGGGUAAAUGUGGUAGCCCCACAGGAAUUGUGAGAGAUGAGAUGCAGCCCCCCAAGGCCUUUCCAGUCUCACUGUACCCCCAAGGCAGUCUAGUAGCCUCGCCAAAACCUGAGGUUCUCCAGUUCCACUUUUAAAACCAGGGUUAGGGGCUGUGUGUGGCAUGCUGGGUUCUGAGGGCAUCCCUCCCGCCCCCGCCCCCCAGGCCAGCCCCCAGUGGUGCCAGCAGUGCCUGCCCCUCACCUCCACCUCUUGGUCUCGCCUGAAGCCUCAGUCUGCGUGUCUGUCCCAGGGACAAUCUGGUCUCCUCCUCUGUGCUGUGGCUGGCAUGGCCCCAGUGUCUGAGGGCUUGUCCUGGGAGGGGCAUCAAGAAUCCAAUUCUCACCUGGUUGUAGGACCUCUUGGGGGAUGCUAGGAGGGCGCCCUGGCACAGCCAGGGAUUGUCUGGGGCUGAGGAGCCCAGGAGAAGCUACUUCUCUCCCAGAAAGGGGCUCCCUCCUGCAUCUGCAGUCGGACGCCCAGACCGCCCACUCUGGACAGCCCACAGUGCCUCCUCCGUCCUGCCAUGCCCAUUUGCAUGUGUCUUGUCCAUCUCUGCUCCUGUGAUGUGGGUCAGUCCUUUGUGGUGCCACGUCCAGGGCUGCAGGGUCCCACGUCAGUGAGCAGUGGGUGGCCAGGAGGGAGGGGUGGUGGCCGGGCUCCCUUCCUACCCAUGGCACCUAGAACAGCAGUGAGGUCCCAGAGAAGCCCCUGCCUGGGCUCCCUGGGAGCUAACCCUGCAGCCUCUGGGUUAUCUUUGGCAAAGGGGUCUAAAGUCCCCUAUCCCCAGCCGCUCUACUUCUCCUGCUGGGCGGCAGUGGCUGCCCAGUGAGUGGUGCUAUCCAUGGGCGGGGAGGGUGCUGGGCAGAGCUGACUAGGCGGCAGGUGGGGCUAAGAGAGUUUCUGCAGGGACCCAACUGCAGGGUCAGCAGCGUGUGGGCCCUGAGUGGGGUCCUUGUUGUCCUUAGGUGGGCUGUGGGGGAAGUAGCAGAGAAAUGAAGUGAUGCCGGGGGCCAGGCAUGGGUGUUCUUUCCCGUGUUGUUCACAUUUUCUCUCUUUCUCUCUCUCUCCACUAAUCAUGUUUCUCUCUCUCUCCUCGUUUUGUUGCAUGACUUGUGCCGGUUCUCGUGAUUGUUCCCUGCUCGUGUCUCACAGACUGUCCCCAUUUAGCCCGAGACUUUUUUCCUGAGUCCCCAGCUGGGCAGAUCCCUCAGGGCUAAACCCAAGGAGAUGCCCAGCAACCCCCAACCCACCCCAGCCCCGCGUGCGCCCCUCCGGUGCCCGCAGCUGGUGUGAACAGUAAGUACUUUGGCGGUGCCUAGAGACCAGGGCAGAAAAGCCAGCUCUGCUGACUGAGGGCCCAGCCUCGGGUUCUCCUUGCUCCAAAGUUUAAAAAAAAAAUGACCCUCUCGCGGAUGCUCAUCUCAGCCCAUUUCAAGCCUGGAAACCAUCUCUGAGACGCUGUCCAUGCUGCCAUUUCAUCACUGCAGGCCUGUGGGUCUAGUGGGGGCCUGGGGGCCCUGGGCUGGGGGAGGCAGGGCCCCCAGCCUCUGGAAAGCAGGUGGGAAUGGAGGCUUCUAGCCACUCUCUCAUCCAAAGGACGGGGCAGGGGCGGGGGCUCACACCUUUGGCCCUAUUCAUGGGUUCCCCAGAUUUAUACAGUUGGCCCUUCCUUAGUUUCUUUCUUCAAGCCACCCCUCUGGAGUUGGGGAGGGACAAUACCCCAGUUUCUGAAAGCAUCUUAAACCAUAGAUAGACUAACAGCCCAGGGGGCUGGGCCCAUUCACAGAGCAAGCCUUAAACUUCCCCACCCAAUCAUUAGCCCCUCCUCAAAGGUUAGGGUUGAGAGAAGCAGCAGGCCCUAGGGGUGUCCCGGGAAUCCCCCAGGAGAGAAAGUGCCGGGCUGUCAUCCCUCCAGGGGUCCCUGAUGGAUGCUCCUUGUUCCCUGCCUAAAACCGUCCCGAACUUUGGGCCCUUUAGAGAUUGUGGGAGCUGGGAGCCCCCAGGGCCUGGGGGCUUGCGGACAGAGCCAAUGGGCGGGGGCCCAGCAUUCAGAGCCAGAGAAGAGUCUCAGGCGGCACCAUCUCCGCAGAGGCAGAGGCAGAGGCAGAGAGAAGGCACCCCCCUCUGACCCACCCCCUCAGGCAAGAACUGCAGGCUGUGGACACCUCCCCCGGCAGAGGAUGGCCAGCAGAGACUCAGCAAGUCCUCACUCCCCUCCCAGAAGGAGACGCUGCCUGGGAGGACCCACUGUUCUCCCCUUGAGGAAAAUUCAUUCAGGGUGCUAUGGGCCUCAACCCCCACAUUGUCAUCUGCGUCCUCUCCAUACUGUUUCCCUCCCCUCUCCCAACACCCUCCUCCCUCAGCCCGGAGACCCUUGGAUGGAAGAUGGGGCCAGCCAGAGUGGGAGGCAGGACCAGCGUGUCUGUGAGCACAUGUGUGUGCCUGCAGACAUGCCCCAAGACCCCAGAGACGCCCCGACCCCAGUCAUAUGGUGUAGGAGUUACCUUGGCAACUGGCCUUUUUGGUUCAGAGUAAAUUGGGAAGGGAAGCCCCUGGGAUUUGUCAAGAAACGCACUGUACGUGAAAUGCUUUGCCAUCUUGUACGAAAGACUUUUUUUUUAAGUUCCAAAAUUAUGAUGGGAUUUUUUUGGAUUUGCUUUACGAAUAAACCUGAUUGGUCCAUUUC